GAUGAACGCUGGCGGCGUGCCUAAUACAUGCAAGUCGAGCGAACAGACGAGGAGCUUGCUCCUCUGACGUUUGCGGCGGACGGGUGUGUAACACGUGGAUAACCUACCUUUCAGACUGGGAUAACUUCGGGACACCGGAGCUAAUACCGGAUAAUCUAUUGAACCGCAUGGUUCUAUAGUGAAAGACGGUUUUGCUGUCACUUAUAGAUGGAUCCGCGCCGCAUUAGCUAGUUGGUAAGGUAACGGCUUACCAAGGCGACGAUGCGUAGACGACCUGAGAGGGUGAUCGGCCACACUGGAACUGAGACACGGUCCAGACUCCUACGGGAGGCAGCAGUGGGGAAUCUUCCGCAAAGGGCGAAAGCCUGACGGAGCAACGCCGCGUGAGUGAUGAAGGUCUUCGGAUCGUAAAACUCUGUUAUUAGGGAAGAACAAAUGUGUAAGUAACUAUGCACGUCUUGACGGUACCUAAUCAGAAAGCCACGGCUAACUACGUG
rnacentral:rRNA from 1 species